CCAGCAAUUGCGGUUAUACAGAUAGUAUAAUUUAAUUUUUCUGGUUACCAGUUAAUUUAUUAAUUAAGAUUUUACGCGUGGGUUUAUAAGGUGAAAUUUGUAAAUUUGAUGUGUCGAUUAAUGUUUGUUAUUGAGGCUGGGAAAUUCAAUAUAUAGACUAGGAUUAGAUACCCUAUUAUUUUGAAUGUAAAUUUCAAUGCUGGGCUAGUAUUAGUUAUGUUCUUGAAAAUUAAAGAUUUUGGCGGUAUUUUAGUCCAUUCAGAGGAACCUGUCCUAUAAUUGAUGAUCCACGAGUUAAUAUACUUUUAUUUUGUUUGUAUAUCGUCGUAGUUUGAAUAUUUUAAUAGAAUUUAAAUGUUCAUAAUUUUUUGGGAAAAAUAUCAGAUCAAGGUGCAGCUUAUAAAAAAGAAGAGAUGGGUUACAAUUUAUUUAUAUAGAAGGAUUAAUUUUUGGAAAAUUUUAUGAAUUUGGAUUUGAGAGUAAUUUUAAUUAAACAAUUAAAAUGAUUUUAGGCUCUAAAAUAUGUACAUAUUGCCCGUCGCUUU
rnacentral:rRNA from 1 species